AUACGCUAGUCACAUACAAGGACCAGUUUCCGCAUCCUCCUCAUGGAAAGUAUUAUCUUGUUGACUCUGGAUACCCUAAUAGAAAAGGAUUUCUUGCACCCUACAAGGGACAAAGGUAUCAUGUUUCCGAAUGGCGUCAUGGUCACCAACCAGUGGGAUUGAAAGAGGUGUUUAAUCAUGCACAUUCAUCCCUUAGAAAUGUGAUUGAGCGGUCAUUUGGAGUUCUAAAGAUGAAGUGGCGCAUUCUCAAGAACUUGCCCAGUUAUCCAGUUAACAAGCAGUCCAAGAUUAUAGUUGCUUGUAUGGCCCUUCACAAUUUCAUUAGGGAAUGUGACUUAGAAGAUCCACAUUUCGAAGAAGACGUUGAAGAUGAUAGUCCUCAUCCCACUUAUGAUGACGAUGGUGGUACUGGAGAUGAUGUCGAUAUGAAUGCAUUUCGUGAUGCGAUCGCUACCACUAUGGUUUCGUGAUUUAGUUUAUAAAUUAGUUGUAUCCAUCAUUUAUGUACUCAAUGUUUAGAAAUUAGUGCUGGUACAUCUCUUGGGCUAAUUGUGAUAUUAAUCUAUUUGACCUAAUAGUAAUAUAAUUAUGUAGUCAAGAUUGUAAAAAAUUAUAAGAAUUAUUGAAUUCUGCUCGUAUUUAGCAAACAAA